GAGUUUCAGAAAAAUAUGGCUCAUGUAGAUAAGCAAGGAGUGGAAGACCCUCAGAUCAUUAUGGCAUAACCUGUGCUUUUGGGGUUACAAAACUAGAAAGAAUUCAGGAGAGAAGAUGAGGGCAAUGAAUGGCUUUUGUUUGCAGUUUGACAACCUGGUGAUGGCUGGAGAACACUCUGGAGACCGAAAGAGCCAUCUGUCAUGUGAGCUCAACAGCAAGCUAACCCCACCUGAUGGGAUGGGGCUGGAGGCAACAGAGGGCUGCCAAGCCUCCAGCCCCCUGGGAAGAAGCAUGCAUUGUCUCUCAAGAGGUUAGGAACCCCUUCUUUCCACUGGGCUUCCCCACAUUUAUCUCACACAACUCACCAAGCUGGAAUUUGACCUCUGCAGCCCUAAUCCCUUUUCCAUGUGAUUCUUCUGAGAUAUGGCUUCCACACAGCAUUCCCAAGGCCAAUCAUGCUGUCCUGUGACUCUAACAAAGAAGCCCCAACAAGGAAAUCAAGGGAACUGUGUGAGAAACAUGGAGGGCCUCCAGAAGCCUAUACCAUCCAUGGGUCACAGGUGCAGUUAUCCAAAUGAAAAGGCCCCCUUGGGGAAUACUAUGGCAGUGACUACUCAUUCAACUCAAAGUUGACCUCCAUCUCUGGAAUUCAUUCUUCCCAAAUUUGUUUGACCCUUUGCAACCAGCCCCUGCCUCCUGCUGUCACCCCCUUCCUGUAGGCAGCCGGGGUCCAUGAAAUAAAAAUAUCUACCACCCUUC